GUCUCCGUAGCUCAGCUGGUAGAGCACAUGACUGUUAAUCAUGGGGUCGUAGGUUCGAGUCCUGCCGGAGACG
rnacentral:tRNA from 1 species